rnacentral:rRNA from 1 species
ACUCCUACGGGAGGCAGCAGUGGGGAAUAUUGCACAAUGGGCGCAAGCCUGAUGCAGCAACGCCGCGUGAGGGAUGAAGGCCUUCGGGUUGUAAACCUCUUUUAGCAGGGAAGAAGCGAAAGUGACGGUACCUGCAGAAAAAGCACCGGCUAACUACGUG